UACGGGGGAUGCGAGCGUUAUCCGGAAUGAUUGGGCGUAAAGCGUCUGUAGGUGGCUUUUUAAGUCCGCCGUCAAAUCCCAGGGCUCAACCCUGGACAGGCGGUGGAAACUACCAAGCUGGAGUACGGUAGGGGCAGAGGGAAUUUCCAGUGGAGCGGUGAAAUGCGUAGAUAUUGGAAAGACCACCGAUGGCGAAGGCACUCUACUGGGCCACUACUGACACUGAGAAGCGAAAGCAUGGGGAGCGAAAGGG
rnacentral:rRNA from 1 species